GGAGCCGUGGUGUAGCCAGGUUUCAACACACUGGCCUGUCAAGCCAGAGAGCGCGGGUUCAAAUCCCGUCGGCUCCG
rnacentral:tRNA from 1 species